GCCUUCCGCGUCGUCAGAGUGACGGUACAGUGCCUGGAGCUGGGCUGUUUUUUUGUAGUGUCUGUCUAAAUAUUAGAAAGUUUCUUUGUUUCUAGAUUACUUGAAAGCUAAGGAAAAGUUGUAGUUCUCUAAUUAUCAAUCUUCCCCUUCCCAUCCCCUUCCCUUUUCCUUUUUCCCUUCCCUUUCCCUCCCUCCCUUCCUCCCUCCCUCCCUCCCUUCCCCUCCCUCCCUCCCUUUACCUCCUCCCUUCCCUCCCCUCACUUUCCCUCCCCUCCCUUCCCCUCCCCUCCUCUCCCCUCCCUUCCCCUCCCCUCCUCUCCCCUCCCUUCCAAGUUAUGCAGUGUGUGGCAUUCUUUUAUAGUAGCAUGAAAUGGACAAAGACAGGCUCCAUUUUCAAGAGCAAGCCCUUUUGUAGUUUCCAAGCCAAUUAUGACUGCACAGGAAGUUCUAUAGAUCGAUCGCCUCAGAUCCACCACCUAGGAAACCUGCUACCAAGCAGACCUAGGAUGUAGAAUUCUAGAUGAACUGCUGGGCAACAUGAUACCACUGCAAUUUAGUACCUCCCUAUAUACCUCCAGUUGGCUCAGCCCAUCAGGGCUAAAACUACCCCUCAUAUCUUAGUGUCUCUUGUAGGCAGAAACCUUGCCUAAACCCUAAGCUGCUUAGCUCACAUUCUGUCUUGUGCUUUUUUUGGAGGGGGUUCGAAUAUACCCAAAAGAAAUAAAUGAACCUCCAUGUACCCAACCCCCAGAUUAAGCAGUUGUCUCCAUUUUGCCAGACUUGUUUCAUCUGUUUCAGUCUCCCUAAACAUUUAUGUUUGUACAGGAAAAACUGGAUAAAUACCUAAUUCUCCACCCCACCUCCCAUUUUAAGUCACUUUUCAAAAUAAUGAGUCAGUGACCUGGUAACUUAUACACUUUAGUGACCAAUAGUUUUUUUUUUUCUAAAUAUCGUCAUGAACUCAUAGAUUAUUGUUUGCAUUUGAUGUAUUUCAGGCCAUUGCAGUCAUUAUUUAUUAAUUGUUUUGGAUGCUUACUGCUUACAUUGUCUUAUCUAGGUUAAUAAUUAUCCCUUCAAGUUGACUCUCAUGUCUUCUUGAUAUGAUCCUGUUGGACUUUGUUGGCUUCCUUGCUUUCUGACAAAAAAGAUGUUCCAGGAUCUGUAUACUGCACUAUGCAUGGAGUCAGCCAUUUCUCUAGGGGGCCUUGAUUCCUUUUAGUAGAGAACACAGUUUGGGCUCUUGGACUGAAUCACUUUUGUGAACCUCCUCGCCUGCAUCCCUUCUUACAGCCAGUAUGCUCUUGCUGGGCAUCAGCAGAUCUCCUAAAAGUGCCAAGUAGUUCUGCCUCACUCUUACAAAGACUCAUCUCCUGAGAGUUUUGUGCUCUACCCCAGAUGCGGUCUUUCUAGUUCUGAAGCUUUUGCUCCAGUCACCCUGAAUUUUGCCAGCCCUAUGCAUGUCGUACCUUGGAUUGCCACCCCACCCUCACUGGAGCCAAUUUCUCCGGUUAGAAUAGUUGCCCCUAUUCUAAUACUCUAAUAAACAAGUUACCUUGUAGAGUAUUAGUUGCCUAAUACUUCAGUAAACAAGGUUCUACCUGGGCUUAGUUAACUUUUGCUCCUUUGGGCCCUGUGUUCUACCAGCAUUCCAUUUAUCUGAAACCCUCCCUCACCUCCUCAAGAUCUUAAUCUGUUCUUUAAUGAUUUACUGCUGCUUCCUGGGUUCUAAAGAACCCAGUUCAGAAGUUCCUGUUUUAGUUUGAGAUCUUAUAGGCCUGUCCAUCAGGUUGCUAUCAUCCCAGCUAGGAUUAGGCAGAAUUGGGUGGGGGUUGUAGUGCAUUUUUUGGCACAGCAUGUACCUGGCUGACUAAUUCUCUGUCUUUUCUUUCCUAUUGUAAUUCAUGGGUCUCAGCAUUUUCUGAAUGCUGUUUAGCAGGUCAUCCUGUUGAUUUCCUGCUAGGGAGGAGCAUACUCUGGCUCUGUACCAUUGAUUGGCAAAGGGACUUAAGGAUAGAUGAUGGGCAGCAGUUUUGUUAAAUGGAACAAUAUGAAGAGAUGGCAUUAUAAAAAAGGCUGGGCAGCAGGGCCCAUUUGAAUGGUUGGUCCUUGGCUCCCAUGUUGAUACAGGCGGAUCCUUGAUGGGAAUUUGGAAUGAUCCCAAAUAUUGUAGAUCACUGGUGCAUCAAGUCAUCGUCAGGGUUGUCUGUGUAACAAUCUUGAGUGAAGUUUUGUGAAUCUCUGGAGAUUCUCUGUAUAGGGUUUAAUCAUUUAAUUAUUCUAGUUGAACCUGUUUAGUUUCUUUGCAAGGAGAUAAGAAAUGUGAAAGAGAUGUAGACACUAGGGAAAAAGCCAGGAGCCUUGUUUCCCACCCACUUCUUGGGUUCUGGAACUGGGCUUACACCUGUAAUCCCAGCACUUUGGGAGGCUGAGGCAGGUGGAUCACGAGGUCGGGAGUUCGAGACCAGCCUUGCCAGCAUGGUGAAACCCCAUCUGUACUAAAAAUACAAAAAUUAGCCAGAUGUGGUGGUGCUUGCCUAUAAUCCCAGCUAAUUUUUGUAUUUUUGGUAGAGAUGAGGAUUCACCAUGCUGGCCAGGCUGGUCUUGAACUCCUGAUGUCAGGUGAUCCAUCCACCUCGGCCUCCCAGAGUGUUGGGAUUACAGGCAUGAGUCACUGUUACUAGCCCACUUUUUCUAGUUUUUGAGACAGAGUCUUGUUCUGUUGCCCAGGCUUGAAUAAUUAAAUGAUCUAAUUUAAAUUUUGAGGAGGUAUGGUUUAGGGAAUGAAUGAUAAGAGACAUGGCUCACGCCUGUAAUCCUAACACUUUGGGAGGGUGAGGUGAAAGUUCUGGGAUUACAGGUGUGAACCACCAUGUCCGGCCCAGUUUUUCCUGUUCUAAGGAAACAGUUGAGUAAUAGCUUUGCUCCUCCUUUAACCUAAAUUAUUCCUUUCACGAGGUUAGUGACUUCUGACAGGCAGAGGUAGGUAGUCUGAAGCCUGAUCACCACACCUGACUAAUUUUGUAUUUUUACUAGAGACGGGCUUUCUCCAUGUUGGUCAGGCUGUUCUUAAACUCCCGACCUCAGGUGACUUAAACUGCCCAAUUUUAAGGGAACAAUUGGGAAAACACUUGUUUAAAAAGGAAAUGAAGGAGUUGCCACGAUUGUGGUUAGCUGUGUGAAGACCCUAGACUGCCUCAGCCUCCCGAGUAGCUGGGAUUACAGGCAUGUGCCACCAUGCCCUGCUUUUUGUAUUUUUUGUAGAGACGGGGUUUUACCAAGUUGGUCAGGCUGGUCUCAAACUUCUGACCUCAGGCGACCCACCCGCCUCAGCCUCCCAAAGUGUUGGGACUAAGGUGUGAGUCACUGUGCCCGGCCUGAUGAUUUUUUUAUUAUAUCUGUGUUUCUGCAGAGUUUUAGUGGCUAAAGAAAGUACACUAGUGUUAAUUUUCUUUUUCAUGAAAGAAGUAAUUUACUAUUCAUUCAGUUACUUGCCAGUCAUGGGAAGGAAAAGUCAAGAUUUUCAUCCACAAUGAUAGGAAUUAUUGUGACAUUACAGGAUGACUCUGUGGACACCUUUAGGAAAAAACCCUGGUCAUAUCACAACCAUUUUACUUGCUGUGAGACCACCAUUGUACUGACUACUGUAACAUUUCUUGGUUUUCUAGACCUGAAGUAGUUAUUUUCUACUUGCCUCCUGGAAUGGCUAACAAAAUAAACACUAAAGGUAGAAGAUUACCUGUACUUCAUAUUAUAUUUCACUGCAUUAAGACAUCCUUUCUCAGCAUUCCUUAAAUCACACAGA
rnacentral:lncRNA from 10 species